AUAUUCCUGUGGUUCUCGUGAUGCAAUCUUUUGCUACCUUACUUGUUUUGUAAAGGGAUUUGUCCCUGGCGAUGGUGUGCAUGCCUUUAUUUAAAGGAAGCCUUAAAUCCCCAUACGUUAUCCCACCUGGAGAACCAGGUACAAAAUAUUCCACACGGUUUUGCGGCAAUAUC
rnacentral:other from 1 species